AACGUAGGAGGCGAGCGUUAUCCGGAGUUACUGGGCGUAAAGCGCAUGUAGGCGGUUGGAUAAGUUGCGUGUGAAAGCUCCUGGCUAAACUAGGAGAGGACAGGCAAGACUGUUCGGCUAGAGGGUGAUAGAGGCGCACAGAAUUCGGGGUGUAGCGGUGGAAAUGUGUAGAGAUCCCGAGGAAUACCAGUGGUGAAGACGGUGCGCUGGGUCAUACCUGACGCUGAGAUGCGAAAGCGUGGGGAGCGAACGGG
rnacentral:rRNA from 1 species